GAUGAACGCUGGCGGCGUGCCUAAUACAUGCAAGUCGAGCGAACAGACGAGGAGCUUGCUCCUCUGACGUUAGCGGCGGACGGGUGAGUAACACGUGGAUAACCUACCUAUAAUACUGGGAUAACUUCGGGAAACCGGAGCUAAUACCGGAUAAUAUAUUGAACCGCAUGGUUCAAUAGUUAAAGACGGUUUUGCUGUCACUUAUAGAUGGAUCCGCGCCGCAUUAGCUAGUUGGUAAGGUAACGGCUUACCAAGGCAACGAUGCGUAGCCGACCUGAGAGGGUGAUCGGCCACACUGGAACUGAGACACGGUCCAGACUCCUACGGGAGGCAGCAGUAGGGAAUCUUCCGCAAAGGGCGAAAGCCUGACGGAGCAACGCCGCGUGAGUGAUGAAGGUCUUCGGAUCGUAAAACUCUGUUAUUAGGGAAGAACAAAUGUGUAAGUAACUAUGCACGUCUUGACGGUACCUAAUCAGAAAGCCACGGCUAACUUCGUG
rnacentral:rRNA from 1 species